rnacentral:rRNA from 1 species
AUUGAACGCUGGCGGCAUGCCUUACACAUGCAAGUCGAACGGUAACGGGCCUUCGGGUGCCGACGAGUGGCGAACGGGUGAGUAAUGUAUCGGAACGUACCAUUGAGUGGGGGAUAACGUAGCGAAAGUUACGCUAAUACCGCAUAUUCUCUCCGGAGGAAAGCAGGGGACCGCAAGGCCUUGCGCUCUUUGAGCGGCCGAUAUCAGAUUAGCUAGUUGGUGGGGUAGAAGCUCACCAAGGCGACGAUCUGUAGCGGGUCUGAGAGGAUGAUCCGCCACACUGGGACUGAGACACGGCCCAGACUCCUACGGGAGGCAGCAGUGGGGAAUAUUGGACAAUGGGCGGAAGCCUGAUCCAGCAAUGCCGCGUGCAGGAUGAAGGCCUUCGGGUUGUAAACUGCUUUUGUACGGAACGAAAAGGCUCCUUCUAAUACAGGGGGCCCAUGACGGUACCGUAAGAAUAAGCACCGGCUAACUACGUGCCAGCAGCCGCCGUAA